AAAUUUUAAUGAGUAUAAUUGAAAAUGAGAAACACAUACGCUUUUUACGAAAUUUUUGAAGGAAAUUAUCAAUUCUUUCGCUCGACCGCGGCGCUAGUGAAUUUAUGUAUUUUUAAUUGUAUAUAUUCUAGUACGCAGGUUUCUAAUUAAAACUUUUAGAUUUUUAUAUUCAACGAAAUGUCAUAUUGUUUUUGUAUCGUGACAUAAAGACAAGCUCCGCCUCAGAAGGAUUUUCAGAAUAAAAUGCUAAAUAAGCUUUCUUAGAAUUAACAUAAUGUUAAAUACAUAUUAUAAAACUGCUAAUGAAAAACGUCAUAUAACUCAAACUCCCGAGCCAUAUACCAGAAGAGCGAAUGUCAAAGAUCGGAGCCCACGUGUCUCGCGGAGGACAAUUACGCCCAUCCGAUUGCUCUCGGCGAGCGACUUUAACGACGAGAGACAACAAAGGUGACGAAGCCGUGGGGGGGAGAGAGAGAGAGAGAGAGAGAGAGAGAGAGAGAGAGAGAGAGAGAGAGAGAGAGAAAAUACCGCGUACUUGAGCGUGUAUCGCGACAUAUUUCUGAUCGUCGAUUUAAGUAACAUUCGCAAGAGCGACAGUGCUGAAGCAACAACACGCGAGAGAUAUCGCUGGCUGAAAAAAAAAAAAAA